UAGUGCUGCAAUGUUUACAUUGCAGUUUGUCUGGAACUGCAAUGUUUUACAUUGCAGCACUA
rnacentral:miRNA from 1 species